GACGAACGCUGGCGGCGUGCCUAAUACAUGCAAGUAGAACGCUGAAGGAGGAGCUUGCUUCUCUGGAUGAGUUGCGAACGGGUGAGUAACGCGUAGGUAACCUGCCUGGUAGCGGGGGAUAACUAUUGGAAACGAUAGCUAAUACCGCAUAAUAGUAGAUGUUGCAUGACAUUUGCUUAAAAAGUGCAAUUGCAUCACUACCAGAUGGACCUGCGUUGUAUUAGCUAGUUGGUGGGGUAACGGCUCACCAAGGCGACGAUACAUAGCCGACCUGAGAGGGUGAUCGGCCACACUGGGACUGAGACACGGCCCAGACUCCUACGGGAGGCAGCAGUAGGGAAUCUUCGGCAAUGGACGGAAGUCUGACCGAGCAACGCCGCGUGAGUGAAGAAGGUUUUCGGAUCGUAAAGCUCUGUUGUAAGAGAAGAACGAGUGUGAGAGUGGAAAGUUCACACUGUGACGGUAUCUUACCAGAAAGGGACGGCUAACUACGUG
rnacentral:rRNA from 1 species